UUUCUUCUUCUUCACACCCAAGUCCUGCUGACACUGGACCCCGCCAGGUCGUCUUCAUCCUAGAGACGAACUCCUGCACGCGCACGAGUUCUUCACUGUCCCGAUCUAAAUCCUCAUCCAAUCGACUCAUCUGUUGCCCCUAGUACAUGCAUGACCCCAUAUAAAUACUCCCUGUGUCCUACUCGUUCGAGUUUUGCCAAAAUCACCAUCGCCCGUGCCCUAGGUCGAUUUCGCGAUCUCGCCGGAGUUCCGCCGUCGCAGAAGCUUUUCCUCGGUCGAUUUCGCCGCCAUCAGCAGGGGAGCACCAGGACGACGCCCGCAACCCCGACCCGAAGAUCACCGCCGCCACCAACAACGGACGCCCCGCUUCGACCUGCUUCAACCCAACGUCCCCGACGAUCACCAGGACCACCUCGACCCCCUCGUCGAUCGGUACCUCUCCGCCCCCUUCACUGACUCCCAGGGCCACGGGAACGGCCGCCGGCAACAACCUCGAGCCGCUCGCGCCGUCAUCUUCCUCAAGUCCGGUGACCACCUCGAUCUGUUCUCCGGAUAUUCAGGUGAUCAGUGAGAUACAGUAAGGUCGCGAGUCUUCACUCAGCAUUUUCGCCAGUGGGCAUUGAUGGGAUUCAUCGUUUAUUAUGCUAGCUUUCCGCUGUUAUUAUUGAAUAAAGCUAGCUAUGUGCUACUCAGUUUGUAAUACCUUAUGAAUUCUGGAUCAUACGUUAUAGUAAACGAUGCACUUGUUAUUUGA